rnacentral:misc_RNA from 1 species
AGUGUCCGCAGCUAAAAAAAGAAAUAUCACAUUAAUUAAUUUUUCGUGGUUCAUUCUGUGACUAAAAUGUCUAAAAUAAUUAAAAUUUCCUAUUUAUUAAAGUUUAUGCCAGUGGUUUUGGCUGUAGAUGAUAAUUUGUUCACGCUUAAAUCUAAAGUGUCCUCAAAGAUCAAUGUAUUGCCAGAUGACUUUGAUUUGAUGUUUUCUGACAUGGUCUUAGAAGAUGAGAUGAUAGUUGCUCUUCCUAAUCCAUGUGAAAUCGUUGUCAAGACUAUUGAAUCAGACCCAUCAUUCCAAAGAGUAACAUAUGAACCGACAUUUCUUGAAAUGUUGAACUCUGUUCCAAUUUAUAGCUGAGAAAGUUCAGGGGAUUCUCCUGGUACAAGUAAAAGCUCGACACAAUCAUCGUUCAUUUUGCAGCCACAAAUUAUGAAUGUCCCAGCUACUGUCCAGUCUCCACUUUCUCUAGAGAUUAUAGUUAAGCUACCUAUCUUUUCAAUGGAGUGCAGCAAAUAUUUAAAUGGUUUGGUGCUUUGCCGUAAGCAUACUUUAAAAGAUGUUUGUAGUGAAUUGGCGCAUCACCUUGAAGAGUGUCUUCCAGAAGGAAACCCUUCAAUAAGAAAAAGGUUCUAUAAUCGUGUAACUGUCCUUUUGAAACAGUCGUACCCAAUCUGUACUUUUGGAGAAGAGGGUGCAGGUGGAGUUGUAAAGCGCGUUUCUAAAUGUAAUUCGGAAGCGACGUGAGCGUCGUUUAAAAAGUUUGCUUGAGGUAAAAAAUGAAAACAGAAUGCUAAACAUCUCUGGAAUAAACGACAGCUCAUUUGAUGAAGAUAUACAGUUUGCUUUGGUACAAAGAGUUCCUGAUAUGGAUCAUAUUCGUUGUUUGGUUAGGAAUAUGAAGUGUUCUCUGCCAUAUUCAGAACACAAAGAGCACCUGUUCCAUCCAGAAAUUAAGCUGCAUUAGAGAGGCUAUUGCAAGUUGUUGAAAAGUUGUAUCCAGGUUCAGAUAUUCCGUCUGCCCUAAUACGAUUUCAUAAGAACACUACCAGAAAAGGAGUGUUGUGUCCAAUUGUUAUUGCUAGUUCUGAAGAUAACGUCUCUUCUCCUGCAACUCAUUUUAGGAGAGAAAAUAACAUUUGUUAAUAAAGGGAAAGUAAUUGCGAUUGGUCAUCGGCAUAAUGAUUCCCUACACGUGCUUCAAUUAAUUGCUUAUUAUUAUAUUAUGGACUUGUCGUACCCAAGAUCGUUUGGGGGAGUUUUGGGGCUGUUGCAGCAUUACGUCUUGCAAAUACCAUUUGCUUGUACAAAUAAGCUUUGGUUAAAAAAAUGCCAAGUCUUGUAAAAGGUUUUGUUGUAUUUUGCAACUGUUCAACUCUUCGAAUAAAAACAUUAAGACAAUUUAAAAUUAAUUAUUUAUAUUUAUGUUUGAUGAUGGUUCCUUUUUA